UAGGUGAACUUGACGAGGGAUGAUUG
rnacentral:rRNA from 1 species